AGAGUUUGAUCAUGGCUCAGGACGAACGCUGGCGGCGUGCNUUAACACAUGCAAGUCGAACGAUGAAGCCUAGCUUGCUAGGUGGAUUAGUGGCGAACGGGUGAGUAAUACGUGAGUGACCUACCUUUGACUCUGGGAUAAGCCUGGGAAACUGGGUCUAAUACCGGAUACGACCAAUCUCCGCAUGGGGUGUUGGUGGAAAGCGUUAUGGAGUGGUUUUAGAUGGGCUCACGGCCUAUCAGCUUGUUGGUGAGGUAAUGGCUUACCAAGGCGACGACGGGUAGCCGGCCUGAGAGGGUGACCGGCCACACUGGGACUGAGACACGGCCCAGACUCCUACGGGAGGCAGCAGUGGGGAAUAUUGCACAAUGGGCGCAACGUGAUGCAGCGACGCCGCGUGAGGGAUGACGGCCUUCGGGUUGUAAACCUCUGUUAGCAUCGAAGAAGCGAAAGUGACGGUAGGUGCAGAGAAAGCGCCGGCUAACUACGUGCCAGCAGCCGCGGUAAUACGUAGGGCGCGAGCGUGUCCGGAAUUAUUGGGCGUAAAGAGCUUGUAGGCGGUUGGUCGCGUCUGCUGUGAAAGGCUGGGGCUUAACCCUGGUUUUGCAGUGGGUACGGGCUAACUAGAGUGCAGUAGGGGAGACUGGAAUUCCUGGUGUAGCGGUGGAAUGCGCAGAUAUCAGGAGGAACACCGAUGGCGAAAGCAGGUCUCUGGGCUGUAACUGACGCUGAGAAGCGAAAGCAUGGGGAGCGAACAGGAUUAGAUACCCUGGUAGUCCAUGCCGUAAACGUUGGGCACUAGGUGUGGGGGACAUUCCACGUUUUCCGCGCCGUAGCUAACGCAUUAAGUGCCCCGCCUGGGGAGUACGGCCGCAAGGCUAAAACUCAAAGAAAUUGACGGGGGCCCGCACAAGCGGCGGAGCAUGCGGAUUAAUUCGAUGCAACGCGAAGAACCUUACCAAGGCUUGACAUAUACUGGACUGCGUCAGAGAUGGCGUUUCCCUUCGGGGCUGGUAUACAGGUGGUGCAUGGUUGUCGUCAGCUCGUGUCGUGAGAUGUUGGGUUAAGUCCCGCAACGAGCGCAACCCUCGUUCUAUGUUGCCAGCACGUGAUGGUGGGGACUCAUAGGAGACUGCCGGGGUCAACUCGGAGGAAGGUGGGGAUGACGUCAAAUCAUCAUGCCCCUUAUGUCUUGGGCUUCACGCAUGCUACAAUGGCCGGUACAGAGGGUUGCGAUACUGUGAGGUGGAGCUAAUCCCUAAAAGCCGGUCUCAGUUCGGAUUGGGGUCUGCAACUCGACCCCAUGAAGUCGGAGUCGCUAGUAAUCGCAGAUCAGCAACGCUGCGGUGAAUACGUUCCCGGGCCUUGCACACACCGCCCGUCA
rnacentral:rRNA from 1 species